GAUAAAGAGGAGGAAAAAUCUGGGAAAAGGAGAUGGAGGAGCAAAAAAAGGAGGAGGACUUUUCUUGUCCAGCAAGCCACGAAGUAAGAAGUAAAGAAAGAUAUGCAGAAUUAGAGAAAGGUCCCUUCAACAUGAAAAGCAAAGGCAGAAUGCAGGAUGAAGGGCUGACAUGAUGCUCUUCCGCGUCCUUCCCAUCUCAACUGUAGCUCGUACUAAGGAAGGAUGCAUGCAUGGUGCAGGGAGAAGCUCUCCUAUGAGAGACCUGGAGGAACACUAACACAUGUGGACAGGUAUUUUGUCUACAUGUGAGUGCUGAGGAUUGAACUCAGAUCCUCUGGAGGAGUGGUUAGCGCUCUUAACCACUGAGCCAUCUCGCUAGCCCAUGCGGAAUAAACUUUAAUUUCCUGAAA